AGAGUGAACGCUGGCGGCAGGCCUAACACAUGCAAGUCGAACGGCAGCACAGUAAGAGCUUGCUCUUAUGGGUGGCGAGUGGCGGACGGGUGAGGAAUACAUCGGAAUCUGCCUAUUUGUGGGGGAUAACGUAGGGAAACUUACGCUAAUACCGCAUACGACCUACGGGUGAAAGCGGAGGACCCUCGGGCUUCGCGCAGAUAGAUGAGCCGAUGUCGGAUUAGCUAGUUGGUGGGUAAAGGCCCACCAAGGCGACGAUCCGUAGCUGGUCUGAGAGGAUGAUCAGCCACACUGGAACUGAGACACGGUCCAGACUCCUACGGGAGCAGCAGUGGGAAUAGUUGGACAAGUGGGCGCAAGCCUGAUCCAGCCAUCGCCGCGUGAGUGAAGAGGUCCCUUGGGUGUAAAGUCUUCGUUUUUAGGUUAGGGAAG
rnacentral:rRNA from 1 species